GAUGAACGCUGGCGGCGUGCCUAACACAUGCAAGUCGAACGGUUAAGCCGGCCCUCGGGCCGGGAAUACAGUGGCGAACGGGUGAGUAACACGUGACCAACCUGCCCCCCGCACGGGGACAGCCCCGCGAAAGCGGGGUUGAUACCCGGCGUCCCGCCUCCCCCGCAUGGGGAGGGCGGGGAAGCUCCGGCGGCGGGGGAUGGGGUCGCGGCCCAUUAGGCUGACGGCGGGGCAACGGCCCACCGUGCCGACGAUGGGUAGCCGGGUUGAGAGACCGACCGGCCACAUUGGGACUGAGAUACGGCCCAGACUCCUACGGGAGGCAGCAGUGGGGAAUAUUGCGCAAUGGGGGAAACCCUGACGCAGCAACGCCGCGUGCGGGACGACGGCCCUCGGGCUGUAAACCGCUUUCAGCGGGGAAGACAUCGACGGUACCCGCAGAAGAAGCCCCGGCUAACUACGUGCCAGCAGCCGCGGUAACACGUAGGGGGCGAGCGUUAUCCGGAUUCAUUGGGCGUAAAGCGCGCGCAGGCGGCGCGCCAAGCGGGACCUCUAACCCCGGGGCUCAACCCCGGGCCGGGUUCCGGACUGGCGCGCUCGAGUGC
rnacentral:rRNA from 1 species